GACGAACGCUGGCGGCGUGCUUAACACAUGCAAGUCGAACGGAAAGGCCCUGCUUUUGUGGGGUGCUCGAGUGGCGAACGGGUGUGUAACACGUGAGUAACCUGCCCUUCACUUUGGGAUAACUUCAGGAAACUGGGGCUAAUACCGGAUAGGAGCUCCUGCUGCAUGGUGGGGGUUGGAAAGUUUGGGCGGUUGGGGAUGGACUCGCGGCUUAUCAGAUUGUUGGUGGGGUUGUGGCUUACCAAGGCUUUGACGGGUAGCCGGCUUGAGAGGGUGACCGGCCACAUUGGGACUGAGGUAGGGCCCAGAUUCCUCGGGGGGGCAGCGGUGGGAAAUAUGGCACAAUGGGGGGAAGCCUGAUGCAGCAACGCCGGGUGGGGGAUGACGGCCUUGGGGUGGUAAACCGCUUUCGCCAGUGACGAGGCGUGAGUGACGGUAGUGGGUAAAGAAGCACCGGCUAACUACGUG
rnacentral:rRNA from 1 species